rnacentral:lncRNA from 1 species
CGACUCUCUCGUUCUCCCCACAGCCAAGUCUCCAGCUGGGGUGGACGUGCCCACCAGCCGCCGAAGGCCAGGACGCCAGGUCCGGUGGACGUGACAAGCAGGACGUGACAUGGUCCGGUGUGACGGCGAGGACAGAGGAGGCGCGUCCGGCCUUCCUGAACACCUUAGGCUGGUGGGGCUGCGGCAAGAAGCGGGUCUGUUUCUUUACUUCCUCCACGGAGUCGGCACACUAUGGCUGCCCUCUGGGCUCCCAGAACCCACAACAUGAAAGAAAUGGUGCUACCCAGCUCAAGCCUGGGCCUUUGAAUCCGGACACAAAACCCUCUAGCUUGGAAAUGAAUAUGCUGCACUUUACAACCACUGCACUACCCGACUCAGGAAUCGGCUCUGGAAGGUGAGCACCAGCGCUCCUUCCGGAAGCCUCUAGGCCCCCGAGCACCCUGCCCCCAUCCCACCCACGUGUCGCUAUCUCUAGGUGAAGCUAGAGGAACCAGACCUCAUCAGCCCAACAUCAAAGACACCAUCGGAACAGCAGCGCCCGCAGCACCCACCCCGCACCGGCGACUCCAUCUUCAUGGCCACCCCCUGCGGCGGACGGUUGACCACCAGCCACCACAUCAUCCCAGAGCUGAGCUCCUCCAGCGGGAUGACGCCGUCCCCACCACCUCCCUCUUCUUCUUUUUCAUCCUUCUGUCUCUUUGUUUCUGAGCUUUCCUGUCUUUCCUUUUUUCUGAGAGAUUCAAAGCCUCCACGACUCUGUUUCCCCCGUCCCUUCUGAAUUUAAUUUGCACUAAGUCAUUUGCACUGGUUGGAGUUGUGGAGACGGCCUUGAGUCUUGGUGCGAGUGUGUGUGAGUGUGAGCCACCUUGGCAAGUGCCCGCCCAGGGCCCGGCCGCCCUCCAUCUGGGCCGGGUGACUGGGCGCCGGCUGUGUGCCCGAGGCCUCACCCUGCCCUCGCCUAGUCUGGAAGCUCCGACCGACAUCACGGAGCAGCCUUCAAGCAUUCCAUUACACCCAUCUCGCUCUGUGCCCCUCCCCACCAGGGCUUCAGCAGGAGCCCUGGACUCAUCAUCAAUAAACACUGUUACAGCAACU